GACGAACGCUGGCGGCGUGCUUAACACAUGCAAGUCGAACGGAAAGGCCCUGCUUGCAGGGUGCUCGAGUGGCGAACGGGUGAGUAACACGUGGGUGAUCUGCCCCUUACUUUGGGAUAAGCCUGGGAAACUGGGUCUAAUACUGGAUAGGACCAUGCUGUAGGUGGUGUGGUGGAAAGAUUAGUUUCGGUAAGGGAUGAGCUCGCGGCCUAUCAGCUUGUUGGUGGGGUAAUGGCCUACCAAGGCGUCGACGGGUAGCCGGCCUGAGAGGGUGGACGGCCACAUUGGGACUGGGAUACGGCCCAGACUCCUACGGGAGGCAGCAGUGGGGAAUAUUGCACAAUGGGCGCAAGCCUGAUGCAGCGACGCCGCGUGGGGGAUGACGGCCUUCGGGUUGUAAACUCCUUUCAGCCAUGACGAAGCCCUUGUGGUGACGGUAGUGGUAGAAGAAGCACCGGCUACUACGUG
rnacentral:rRNA from 1 species